rnacentral:lncRNA from 1 species
AUUUUGAAAGACAUAAAACUAUCUUUACUGUGGCACUUAAAUUUUUAUUGAUUUUUUUUUUUUUUU